rnacentral:rRNA from 1 species
UGCCAGACUCCUACGGGAGGCAGCAGUGAGGGAUAUUGGUCAAUGGGGGAAACCCUGAUGCAGCGACGCCGCGUGAAGGAUGAAGUAUUUCGGUAUGUAAACUUCUAUCAGCAGGGAAGAAAAUGACGGUACCUGACUAAGAAGCCCCGGCUAACUACGUGCCAGCAGCCGCGGUAAUACGUAGGGGGCAAGCGUUAUCCGGAUUUACUGGGUGUAAAGGGGGCGCAGACGGCAGCGCAAGCCAGGAGUGAAAGCCCGGGGCCCAACCCCGGGACUGCUCUUGGAACUGCGCGGCUGGAGUGCAGGAGGGGCAGGCGGAAUUCCUGGUGUAGCGGUGAAAUGCGUAGAUAUCAGGAGGAACACCGGUGGCGAAGGCGGCCUGCUGGACUGCGACUGACGUUGAGGCCCGAAAGCGUGGGGAGCAAACAGGAUUAGAUACCCUAGUA